CCUACGGGUGGCAGCAGUGAGGAAUAUUGGUCAAUGGGCGUCAGCCUGAACCAGCCAAGUAGCGUGAAGGAUGAAGGUCUAUGGGUCGUAAACUUCUUUUAUAUAAGAAUAUGUAUUAUAUGAAUAAGGAUCGGCUAACUCCGUGCCAGCAGCCGCGGUAAUACGGAGGAUCCGAGCGUUAUCCGGAUUUAUUGGGUUUAAAGGGAGCGUAGGUGGAUUAUUAAGUCAGCUGUGAAAGUUUGCGGCUCAACCGUAAAAUUGCAGUUGAUACUGGUAAUCUUGAGUUAAGUAAAGGUGGGCGGAAUUCGUGGUGUAGCGGUGAAAUGCUUAGAUAUCACGAAGAACUCCAAUUGCGAAGGCAGCUCACUGGCUUUACUGACACUGAUGCUCGAAAGUGUGGGUAUCAAACAGGAUUAGAUACCCCAGUAGUC
rnacentral:rRNA from 1 species